GUGAGGAAUAUUGCACAAUGGGCGCAAGCCUGAUGCAGCAACGCCGCGUGCGGGACGAAGGCCUUCGGGUCGUAAACCGCUUUUCUGGGGAAAGAGACAGGACGGUACCUCAGGAAUAAGUCUCGGCUAACUACGUGCCAGCAGCCGCGGUAAAACGUAGGAGGCGAGCGUUAUCCGGAUUUACUGGGCGUAAAGCGCACGCAGGCGGCUCUGUAAGUUGGACGUGAAAGCUCUCGGCUUAACCGGGAGAGGCCGUUCGAUACUGCGGGGCUUGAGGUAGGGAGAGGAAUGCGGAAUUCCUGGUGUAGUGGUGGAAUGCGUAGAUAUCAGGAGGAACACCUGUGGCGAAAGCGGCAUUCUGGCCCUCACCUGACGCUGAGGUGCGAAAGCGUGGGUAGCAAACAGGAUUAGAUACCCCUGUAGUCC
rnacentral:rRNA from 1 species